AGUGAACGCUGGCGGUAGGCCUAACACAUGCAAGUCGAACGGCAGCACAGUAAGAGCUUGCUCUUACGGGUGGCGAGUGGCGGACGGGUGAGGAAUACAUCGGAAUCUACUUUUUCGUGGGGGAUAACGUAGGGAAACUUACGCUAAUACCGCAUACGACCUACGGGUGAAAGCAGGGGAUCUUCGGACCUUGCGCGAUUGAAUUUGCCGAUGUCGUAUUAGCUAGUUGGCGGGGUAAAGGCCCACCAAGGCGACGAUUCGUAGCGGGUCUGAGAGGAGGAUCAGCCACACUGGAACUGAGACACGGUCCAGACUCCUACGGGAGGCAGCAGUGGGGAAUAUUGGACAAUGGGCGCAAGCCUGAUCCAGCCAUACCGCGUGGGUGAAGAAGGCCUUCGGGUUGUAAAGCCCUUUUGUUGGGAAAGAAAAGAAGCAGGUUAAUACCCCGCUGUUCUGACGGUACCCAAAGAAUAAGCACCGGCUAACUUCGU
rnacentral:rRNA from 1 species